GACGAACGCUGGCGGCGUGCCUAAUACAUGCAAGUUGAGCGCUGAAGGUUGGUACUUGUACCGACUGGAUGAGCAGCGAACGGGCGAGUAACGCGUGGGGAAUCUGCCUUUGAGCGGGGGACAACAUUUGGAAACGAAUGCUAAUACCGCAUAAAAACUUUAAACACAAGUUUUAAGUUUGAAAGAUGCAAUUGCAUCACUCAAAGAUGAUCCCGCGUUGUAUUAGCUAGUUGGUGAGGUAAAGGCUCACCAAGGCGAUGAUACAUAGCCGACCUGAGAGGGUGAUCGGCCACAUUGGGACUGAGACACGGCACAAACUCCUACGGGAGGCAGCAGUAGGGAAUCUUCGGCAAUAGACGAAAGUCUGACCGAGCAACGCCGCGUGAGUGAAGAAGGUUGUCGGAUCGUAAAACUCUGUUGGUAGAGAAGAACGUUGGUGAGAGUGGAAAGCUCAUCAAGUGACGGUAACUACACAGAAAGGGACGGCUAACUACGUG
rnacentral:rRNA from 1 species